UGGUGAUCUAGUGGUUAAGAUUCAGCACUCUCAUUGCACAGGCCUGGGUUCGUUUCCCAGCCA
rnacentral:tRNA from 1 species